GACGAACGCUGGCGGCGUGCUUAACACAUGCAAGUCGAACGGAAAGGCCCUGCUUUUGUGGGGUGCUCGAGUGGCGAACGGGUGAGUAACACGUGAGUAACCUGCCCUUGACUUUGGGAUAACUUCAGGAAACUGGGGCUAAUACCGGAUAGGAGCUCCUGCUGCAUGGUGGGGGUUGGAAAGUUUCGGCGGUUGGGGAUGGACUCGCGGCUUAUCAGCUUGUUGGUGGGGUAGUGGCUUACCAAGGCUUUGACGGGUAGCCGGCCUGAGAGGGUGACCGGCCACAUUGGGACUGAGAUACGGCCCAGACUGCUACGGGAGGCAGCAGUGGGGAAUAUUGCACAAUGGGCGGAAGCCUGAUGCAGCAACGCCGCGUGCGGGAUGAAGGCCUUCGGGUUGUAAACCGCUUUCGCCUGUGACGAAGCGUGAGUGACGGUAAUGAGUAAAGAAGCACCGGCUAACUACGUG
rnacentral:rRNA from 1 species